GUUCCUACGGGGGGCAGCAGUGGGGAAUAUUGGGCAAUGGGCGCAAGCCUGACCCAGCAACGCCGCGUGAAGGAAGAAGACCCUCGGGUUGUAAACUUCUUUUAUCAAGGACGAAACAAAUGACGGUACCUCUUGAAUAAGCCACGGCUAACUACGUGCCAGCAGCCGCGGUAAUACGUAGGUGGCAAGCGUUGUCCGGAUUUACUGGGUGUAAAGGGCGUGCAGCCGGGCUGACAAGUCAGAUGUGAAAUCCCGCGGCUCAACCGCGGAACCGCAUUUGAAACUGUCAGUCU
rnacentral:rRNA from 1 species